rnacentral:tRNA from 1 species
GGUGGCUCAGUGGUAGAGUGCUUGCCUUGCAUGCAUAAGGCCCUGGGUUCGAUUCCACAGCACCA